rnacentral:lncRNA from 1 species
CCCACUCCCCUGGCCAACCAAUCUGUGAGCAGGAGGAGAGAGAGGGACAGAUGGGAGCAGUCCAUUCUAGCCAAGCCCCAUCCUCCAGGCCAGGGAAGGGCCUAUAAGGUGGGUGGGUGGGGUUUGGAUCUAAUGAUGUUCCAAUAUCCACACUAGAACACCUCUUCCAUUCUAUAAUGUAUUCUAGAACACCUCUUCCAUUCUAUAAUGUAUUCUAGAACACCUCUUCUGUUCUAUAAUGUAUUCUAGAACACCUCUUCUGUUCUAUAGUGUAUUCUAGAACACCUAUUCUGUUCUAUAAUGUAUUCUAGAACACCUCUUCUGAUCUAUAAUGUAUUCUAGAACACCUCUUCUGUUCUAUAAUGUAUUCUAGAACACCUCUUCUGUUCUAUAAUGUAUUCUAGAACACCUCUUCUGUUCUAUAGUGUAUUCUAUAUCACCUCUUCUGUUCUAUGACGUAAUCUAGAACACCUCUUCUGUUCUAUAAUGUAUUCUAGAACACCUCUUCUGUUCUAUAACGUAUUCUAGAACACCUCUUCUGUUCUAUAACGUAUUCUAGAACACCUCUUCCGUUCUGUAACCUAUUCUUAAAUACAUUGCUUCAUUCUAAGUAGUAUGUCACUGGACAGAAGUAGAGCAACAGCUGGGUUUUUACAUACCAACAGGUGUUUAUACUAGACACUAGUCCUCCACCAGAAACAUGACAUUGAGACUGUUCCAGAGUGCGAAUUACAAGGGGGGGGGGCCUAAAUCCAACUAUGGGGGAGGAGAGGGUCUCUAAAUAAUGCUAAUAGUAAUUUCCAUGUAAAAGGGCCCACGAGCACCAAGAGGGCCCACGAGCACCAAUAGGGCCCACGAGCACCAAUAGGGCCCACGAGCACCAACAGGGCCAACAGGGCCCACGAGCACCAACAGGGCCCAUCAGCACCAACAGGGCCCAUGACCACCAACAGGGCCAACAGGGCCCACGAGCACCAACAGGGCCAACAGGGCCCACGAGCACCAACAGGGCCAACAGGGCCUACGAGCACCAACAGGGCCAACAGGGCCUACGAGCACCAACAGGGCCCACGAGCACCAACAGGGCCCACGAGCACCAACAGGGCCAACAGGGCCCACGAGCACCAACAGGGCCUAUCAGCACCAACAGGGCCCAUGACCACCAACAGGGCCAACAGGGCCCACGAGCACCAACAGGGCCAACAGGGCUCACGAGCACCAACAGGGCCAACAGGGCCUACGAGCACCAACAGGGCCAACAGGGCCUACGAGCACCAACAGGGCCCACGAGCACCAACAGGGCCCAUCAGCACCAACAGGGCCCAUGAGCACCAACAGGGCCAACAGGGCCUAUGAGCACCAACAGGGCCCAUCAGCACCAACAGGGCCCAUGAGCACCAACAGGGCCAUCAGGGCCCACGAGCACCAACAGGGCCCAUCAGCACCAACAGGGCCCAUCAGCACCAACAGGGCCCACGAGCACCAACAGGGCAACAGGGCUUACGAGCACCAACAGGGCCAACAGGGCCCACGAGCAUUAACAGGGCCUAUGAGCACCAACAGGGCCCACGAGCACCAACAGGGCCCACGAGCACCAACAGGGCCCAUCAGCACCAACAGGGCCCAUCAGCACCAACAGGGCCAACAGGGCCCAUGAGCACCAACAGGGCCCAUCAGCACCAACAGGGCCCAUGAGCACCAACAGGGCCAACAGGGCCCAUGAGCACCAACAGGGCCCAUCAGCACCAACAGGGCCAACAGGGCCUACGAGCACCAACAGGGCCAACAGGGCCUACGAGUACCAACAGGGCCCAUCAGCACCAACAGGCCCAUCAGCACCAACAGGGUCAACAGGGCCCAUCAGCACCAACAGGCCCAUCAGCACCAAUAGGGCCAACAGGGCCUACGAGUACCAACAGGGCCCAUGAGCACCAACAGGGCCCAUCAGCACCAACAGGGCCAACAGGGCCCAUCAGCACAAAUAGGGCCAACAGGGCCCACGAGCACCAACAGGGCCAACAGGAUCCAUCAGCACCAUCAGGGCCCACGAGCACCAACAGGGCCCACGAGCACCAACAGGGCCCAUCAGCACAAAUAGAGCCAACAGGGUCCAUCAGCACAAAUAGGGCCAACAGGGCCCACGAGCACCAAAAGGGUCCAUGAGCACUAACACAGCAGCCGUGUCAAAUUGGAGGUCAAAUGAAAGCUAAGAGCCGAGCCCCCCCCCCCCAUCCUAUAAAUGAUGAAUAAACAAAGACUUUGAUUUCUGGUCAAACAGAUGGAAACGGGGUCUUAGAAAACAUCUCUCAGAAACACCCUUACAAGGUGUUAUAAAUACAGCAAUCAAUCCAAUGUAUUUAUAAAGCCAUCAGCUGAUAUCACAAAGUGCUGUACAGAAACCCAGCCUAAAACCCCCAAACAGCAAGUAAUGCAGAUGUAGAAGCACGGUGGCUAGGAAAAAAACUCCCUAGAAAGGCCCGAGAACCUAGGAAGAAACCUAGAGAGGAACCAGGCUAUGAGGGGUGGCCAGUCCUCUUCUGGCUGUGCCAGGUGUAGAUUAUAACAGAACAUGGCCAAGAUGUUCAAACGUUCAUAAAUGACCAGCAGGGUCAAAUAAUAAUAAUCACAGUAGCUGUAGAGGGUGCAACAGGUCAGCACCUCAGGAGUAAAUGUCAGUUGGCUUUUCAUAACCGAUCAUUCAGAGUUAGAGAGAGCAGGUGCUGUAGAGAAAGAGAGGUAGAGACGGCAGGUGCGGUAGAGCGAGAGAGAGGUAGAGACAGCAGGUGCGGUAGAGAGAGAGAGGGGUAGAGACAGCAGGUGCGGUAGAGAGAGAGAGGGGUAGAGACAGCAGGUGCGGUAGAGAGAGAGAGGGGUAGAGACAGCAGGUGCGGUAGAGAGAGAGAGGGGUAGAGACAGCAGGUGCGGUAGAGAGAGAGAGGUAGAGACAGCAGGUGCGGUAGAGAGAGAGAGGUAGAGACAGCAGGUGCGGUAGAGAGAGAGGGGUAGAGACAGCAGGUGCGGUAGAGAGAUAGAGGGGUAGAGACAGCAGGUGCGGUAGAGAGAGAGAGAGGUAGAGACAGCAGGUGCGGUAGAGAGAGAGAGGUAGAGACAGCAGGUGCGGUAGAGAGAGAGAGAGGUAGAGACAGCAGGUGCGGUAGAGAGAGAGAGGUAGAGACAGCAGGUGUGGUAGAGAGAGGGGUAGAGACAGCAGGUGCGGUAGAGAGAGAGAGGUAGAGACAGCAGGUGCGGUAGAGAGAGAGAGGGGUAGAGACAGCAGGUGCGGUAGAGAGAGAGAGGUAGAGACAGCAGGUGCGGUAGAGAGAGAGAGAGGUAGAGACAGCAGGUGCGGUAGAGAGAGAGAGAGGUAGAGACAGCAGGUGCGGUAGAGAGAGAGAGGUAGAGACAGCAGGUGCGGUAGAGAGAGAGACAGUCGAAGACAGCAGGUGCGGUAGAGAGAGCGACGUAGCAUGUCCGGUGAACACACAAAUAAUGUUGAAGACCCCUGCAAAUGAAUAUCAACACUUAACUGUAUAUUUAGUUUUGGAGACAUUUUUCUGCCUUCUGUGAGUUUUUAAGAAAUAUUUCCUUGUAUCUUGUAAUUCUGUUACCACAACCACAAUAUUGUCUAAAUUUCUCUCACUCAUGAGGAGGAGGAUCAUGACAGUUCACAACAACAAGUAAAGGUAGACCUACCAAUUAGUUAUAGUUAUUUUACUGAUAUACAUGUUGUUUAUGAAUUAUCAAGUGAUUGAAACUUGAAAUUCCGUUACCAAAUCGGUAAUGGAAUUUUCCCCAAACAUUUGUAACGGAAUUUCUGCAAUUGAAUUUUCUACAAUGGGCAAUCAUAGUAGUAACAAACCACAUUUGGGUUCACAAGUUUGGACAGUAGAGUAUAGUACAGUAGAGUAUAGUACAGUAGAGUAUAGUCUAGUACAGUAGAGUAUAGUAUAGUACAUCACAGUAUAGUAUAGUAUAGUACAUUACAGUAUAGUAUAGUAUAGUACAUUACAGUAGAGUAGAGUUCAGUACAGUACAGUAGAGUUUAAUACUGUAGAGUAGAGUAGAGUAUAGUAUAGUACAUUACAGUAUAGUAUAGUAUAGUAUAGUACAUUACAGAAGAGUAUAGUACAUUACAGUAUAGUACAUUACAGUAGAGUAGAGUAUAGUAUAGUACAUUACAGUAGAGUAUAGUAUAGUACAUUACAGUAGAGUAGAGUACAGUGCAGUAGAGUUUAAUACAGUAGAGUACAGUAGAGUUUAAUACAGUACAUUACAGUAGAGUAGAGUUCAGUACAGUACAGUAGAGUGUAAUACAGUAGAGUACAGUAGAGUAUAGUAUAGUACAUUACAGUAGAGUAGAGUUCAGUACAAUACAGUGGAGUUUAAUACAGUAGAGUACAGUAGAGUAUAGUAUAGUACGUUACAGUAGAGUAGAGUACAGUACAGUAGAGUUUAAUACAGUAGAGUACAGUAGAGUUUAAUACAGUAGAGUACAGUAGAGUUUAAUACAGUAGAGUACAGUAGAGUUUAAUACAGUAGAGUACACAGUAGAGUUCAGUAGAGUAUAGUAUAGUACAUUACAGUAGAGUUCAGUACAGUACAGUAGAGUUUAAUACAUUACAGUAGAGUAGAGUUCAGUACAGUAGAGUUUAAUACAGUACAGUACAGUAGAGUUUAAUACAGUAGAGUACAGUAGAGUUCAGUACAGUACAGUACAGUAGAGUUUAAUACAGUAGAGUACACAGUAGUGUUCAGUAGAGUACAGUAGAGUAUAGUAUAGUACAUUACAGUAGAGUACAGUACAGUACAGUACAGUACAGUUUAAUACAGUAGAGUACAGUAGAGUUUAAUACAGUAGAGUACUCAUUAGAGUUCAGUACAGUAGAGUAGAGUAUAGUACAUUACAGUGGAGUAGAGUUCAGUACAGUACAGUACAGUAGAGUUUAAUACAGUAGAGUACAGUAGAGUUUAAUAAAGUACAGUACACAGUAGAGUUCAGUAGAGUAGAGUUCAGUAGAGUUCAGUAGAGUAGAGUUCAGUAGAGUUUAGUAAAGUACAGUAGAGUACAGUAGAGUUCAGUACAGUAGAGUUCAGUAGAGUUCAGUAGAGUAGAGUAGAGUAGAGUUUAGUAAAGUACAGUAGAGUACAGUAGAGUUCAGUACAGUAGAGUUCAGUAGAGUAGAGUUCAAUAGAGUUCAGUAGAGUUCAGUAGAGUAGAGUUCAGUAGAGAUCAGUCGAGUUCAGUAGAGUUCAGUAGAGUAGAGUUCAGUAGAGAUCAGUAGAGUUCAGUAGAGUAGAGUUCAAUAGAGUUCAGUAGAGUAGAGUUCAAUAGAGUUCAGUAGAGUAGAGUUCAGUAGAGUAGAGUACAGUAGAGUUUAGUAAAGUACAGUAGAGUUCAGUACAGUAGAGUUCAGUAGAGUAGAGUACAGUAGAGUACAGUUGAGUUCAGUACAGUAGAGUUCAGUAGAGUAAAGUACAGUAGAGUACAUUAGAGUUCAGUAGAGUAGAGUUCAGUAGAGUAGAGUAUAUUAGAGUUCAGUAGAGUAGAGUUCAGUAGAGUAGAGUACAUUAGAGUUCAGUUCAGUAGAGUUCAGUACAGUACAGUAGAGUUCAGUACAGUAGAGUUCAGUAGAGUAGAGUACAGUAGAGUUCAGUACAGUAGAGUACAGUACAGUAGAGUUCAGUGGAGUUGAGUACAGUAGAGUUGAGUUGAGUACAGUAGAGUUCAGUACAGUAGAGUACAGUACAGUGCAGUACAGUAGAGUUCAGUACAGUAGAGUAGUGUACAGUAGAGUUCAGUGGAGUUGAGUACAGUAGAGUUCAGUACAGUAGAGUUCAGUACAUUAGAGUUCAGUAGAGUUCAGUAGAGUACAUUAGAGUACAGUAGAGUUCAGUAGAGUAGAGUACAUUAGAGUUCAGUAGAGUAGAGUUCAGUAGAGUAGAGUACAGUAGAGUUCAUUACAGUACAGCACAGUAGAGUACAGUAGGGUUUAAUACAAUACAUUACACACAAUAGUUUAAUACAGUACAGUACACAGUAGAGUUUAAUACAGUACAGUACACAGUAGAGCACAUGAGUUAAGUGCAACUGUACUGUACAUUUUAGUCAUUUAGCAGACGCUCUUAUCCAGAGCGACUUACAGUAGUGAAUGCAUACAUUUCAUACAUUUAAAAAAAAAAAUCGUACUGGUCCCCCGUGGGAAUCGAACCCACAACCCUGGCGUUGCAAACACCAUGCUCUACCAACUGAGCCACAUGGGACUGUACUGUGCUGUAUUCUACUGUUCUGUAAUGUACUGUAUUCUACUGUACUGUAAUGUACUGUAUUCUACUGUACUGUACUGUAUUCUACUGUACUGUACUGUAUUCUACUGUUAUUUACUGUACUGUAUUCUACUGUACUGACCUGUAUUCUACUGUACUGACCUGUAUUCUAGUGUACUGUUCUGUACUCUACUGUACUGUACUGUAUUCUACUGUACUGUACUGUACUGUAUUCUACUGUUAUUUACUGUACUACAUUCUACUGUACUGUACUGUACUGUACUGUAUUAUACUGUUCUGUACUGUACUGUAUUCUACUGUAUUCUACUGGACAGUACUGUAUUAUUCUGUUCUGUACUGUACUGUAUUCUACUGUUCUGUACUGUACUGUACUCUGCUGUUCUGUUCUGUACUGUACUGUACUGUAUUCUACUGUAUUCUACUGUACUCUGCUGUACUGUACUGUAUUCCACUGUUCUGUUCUGUACUGUAUUCUACUGUACUGUUCUGAAUUCCAUUGUAUUCUACUGUUCUGUUCUGUACUCUACUGUACUGUACUGUAUUCUACUGUACUGUACUGUACUGUACUGUACUGUACUGUACUGUAUUCUACUGUUAUUUACUGUACUACAUUCUACUGUAUUGUACUGUACUACAUUCUACUGUACUAUACUGUACUCUACUGUUAUUUACUGCCCUGAAUUCUACUGUUCUGUACUGUACUGUAUUCUACUGUACUGUACUGUAUUAUUCUGUUCUGUACUGUACUGUAUUAUUCUGUUCUGUACUGUACUGUAUUCUACUGUACUGUUCUGUAUUCCACUGUAUUCUACUGAUCUGUUCUGUACUCUACUGUACUGUACUGUAUUCUACUGUUCUGUACUGUAUUCUACUGUAUUCUACUGUACUGUAUUCUACUGUUAUGUUCUGUACUCUACUGUACUGUACUGUAUUCUACUGUUCUGUACUGUAUUCUACUGUAUUCUACUGUACUGUAUUCUACUGUUCUGUACUGUUCUGUACUCUACUGUUCUGUAUUGUAUUCUACUGUACUGUACUGUAUUCUACUGUACUGUACUGUAUUCUACUGUUCUGUACUGCUCUGUACUCUACUGUUCUGUAUUGUAUUCUACUGUACUGUACUGUAUUCUACUGUUCUGUACUGUAUUCUACUGUACUGUAUUCUACUGUAUUCUACUGUACUGUAUUCUACUGUUCUGUACUGUUCUGUACUCUACUGUUCUGUACUGUAUUCUACUGUACUGUACUGUAUUCCACUGUAUUCUACUGUUCUGUACUCAACUAUAUUGUACUGUAUUCUACUGUAUUCUACUGUACUCUGCUGUACUGUACUGUAUUCUACUGUUCUGUUCUGUACUGUAAUGUAUUCUACUGUUCUGUACUGUACUGUAUUCUACUGUAUUCUACCAUACUCUGCUGUACUGUACUGUACUGUAUUCUACUGUAUUCCACUGUACUGUACUGUAUUCUACUGUUCUGUUCUGUACUGUAAUGUAUUCUACUGUUCUGUACUGUACUGUAUUCUACUGUAUUCUACCAUACUCUGCUGUACUGUACUGUACUGUAUUCUACUGUAUUCCACUGUACUGUACUGUAUUCUACUGUACUGUACUGUAUUCUACUGUAUUCUACUCUAUUCUACAGUAUUCUACUGUUCUGUACUGUACUGUAUUCUACUGUUCUGUACUGUAUUCUACUGUAUUGUACUGUGCUGUAUUCUACUGUACUGUACUGUAUUCUACUGUACUGUACUCUAUUCUACUGUUCUGUACUGUAUUCUACUGUAUUCUACAGUACUUUAUUCUACUGUAUUCUACUGUAUUCUACUGUUCUGUUCUGUUCUUUGAUGUCCAAACUUGUGAAACAUAGACUUGUAUGAUUGGUUCAGAUUUUGUCCCGUGAUGAUAUUCCCCCGGGGGGAGUCAUACGUUUUAAGAGAUGGUUUAAACCAUGUUUUUCCCACGUGGCUGCACUUGUCAUCCUGGGACAGUCCCGUAACUCAGCCACUUGUCAUCCUGGGACAGUCCCGUAACUCAGCCACUUGUCAUCCUGGGACAAUCCCGUACCUCAGCCACUUGUCAUCCUGGGACAGUCCCGUACCUCAGCCACUUGUCAUCCUGGGACAAUCCCGUACCUCAGCCACUUGUCAUCCUGGGACAGUCCCGUACCUCAGCCCGUUUUCAAGUGUCCCAACUUUUCUUUCUACAAAAAAAGGUAAUUUUGGCAGCAAGACGCACACGUUAAUUUAGGCUACAAGAGAGUGUAGAUUCAAUGACAAUCACCGAACGUCAUUCCACUUCUUGGUGUUUUGUUCCAGAUGUCUCUUUCCGUUCCUCUAAUGGCUGGUGCGCUGUCUGGAUGCUGGAGUUAUUUUAGAGAAAUUAAAAAUGAAAAGUUAAUAAAAAAAAAUCUUUACUGUUAAAUUACUUUUUUUUUUAUCCCCCCCCGAAUGUCACAUUAUAAUUCGCACUCUGGAUUGUUCAAUUCAUUUGAAGAAUUAGAAAUGAAUUGAAUUCAAAAUUAAUCUCCUGAAUUGAUUGGAGUGAAAUGGAAUUGAUCCCACCCCUGAUUGUAAAGCUCAACAGAUAAUUGGUUCAGUCUCUCAACAGAGUUGGUUCAGUCUAUCAACAGAGUUGGUUCAGUCUCUCAACAGAGUUGGUUCAGUCUCUCAACAGAUUUGGUUCAGUCUCUCAACAGAGUUGGUUCAGUCUCUCAACAGAGUUGGUUCAGUCUCUCAACAGAAUUGGUUCAGUCUCCCAACAGAGUUGGUUCAGUCUCUCAACAGAGUUGGUUCAGUCUCUCAACAGAGUUGGUUCAGUCUCUCAACAGAGUUGGUUCAGUCUCUCAACAGAGUUGGUUCAGUCUCUCAACAGAGAACUGAUUCCCUCUACUCUACUCUAUCCAUGACUGAUUCCCUCUACUCUACUCUAUACAUGACUGAUUCCCUCUACUCUACUCUAUACAUGACUGAUUCCCUCUACUCUACUCUAUACAUGACUGAUUCCCUCUACUCUACUCUAUACAUGACUGAUUCCCUCUACUCUACUCUACACAUGACUGAUUCCCUCUACUCUACUCUACUCAUGACUGAUUCCCUCUACUCUACUCUAUCCAUGACUGAUUCCCUCUACUCUACUCUAUCCAUGACUGAUUCCCUCUACUCUACUCUAUACAUGACUGAUUCCCUCUACUCUACUCUACUCUAUACAUGACUGAUUCCCUCUACUCUACUCUACACAUGACUGAUUCCCUCUACUCUACUCUAUACAUGACUGAUUCCCUCUACUCUACUCUACUCAUGACUGAUUCCCUCUACUCUACUGUACUCAUGACUGAUUCCCUCUACUCUACUCUACUCAUGACUGAUUCCCUCUACUCUACUCUAUACAUGACUGAUUCCCUCUACUCUACUCUACUCAUGACUGAUUCCCUCUACUCUACUCUAUACAUGACUGAUUCCCUCUACUCUACUCUACACAUGACUGAUUCUCUCUACUCUACACUCCCUUCCUCUCCUCUACUCGUCUUGCCAUCUCCUUUAUUGAUCCCUCCCGAACUGUAAAUAAAAUAAACUGAAUAGAUUCCUCUUUUGUCAUGAUCUAAUCCAUAAAGGGUUAUUAUUAAACUAAGGCCUGUCCCCUGUAGAGAGUCUCUUUGUCCCAGCAUGCACUCCAUUCUCAAUAUUGUGCUUCUUUUGACUAGACCCCAAGUAGUGCACUAUGUAGGGCAGUGUUUCCCAACUCCAGUCCCCCGUCCUCCAAACAGCCCAACUCCAGUCCUCCAAACCGCCCAACUCUAGUCCCCCGAACCGCCCAACUCCAGUCCCCCAUGUCCCCCAAACCGCCCAACUCCAGUCCCCCAUUCCCCCAAACCGCCCAACCCCAGUCCCCCAGUCCCCCAAACCGCCCAUCUCCAGUCCUCCAGUCCCCCAAACCGCCCAACUUCAGUCCUCCAGUCCCACAAACCGCCCAUCUCCAGUCCUCCAGUCCCCCAAUCCGCCCAGCUCCAGUCCCCCAAACCGCCCAGCUCCAGUCCCCCAACAGCCCAACUCCAGUCCUCCAGUCCCCCCAACAGCCCAACUCCAGUACCCCCCAACAGCCCAACUCCAGUCCUCCAGUCCCCCAACAGCCCAACUCCAGUCCUCCAGUCCCCCAACAGCCCAACUCCAGUCCUCCACUACCCCCAACAGCCAAACUCCAGUCCUCCAGUCCCC